ensembl:lncRNA
CAACAUUGAGUAAUAAUCUUUAAAAACUCUGGAGAAAGAUGACCACCUACCCACCAGAGGAUGCUGUUACAGGAGGACCUUGCUUCCAACUUCCAUGACACGAGCGUCGGGGGCCAGCGAGGGCUUUUGCUCUGGGUUGUCUCUACUCUAGACCUGGACGACCACAGUACCUGUGGGGAACAUUACUGGACACAGGAGCAGAGGAAAAAAGAUCCUACCCUGGACUUGAAUCAUCUGCCCCUUAGCAACCCACGCCAAGCACAGGUGGCAGACUUUGGUGAUGUGACCCCGGGGCCUGGCAGGCAGGGACCAGAAGCCUCCCGUGAUGCCAGGUCUUGGACCCAUGACACAGAGACCGCUGGGACAAUUCAGUCCUAGCAGGCAGUAGGUCUACCUAGCAGCUUUGAAAAUAAUUUUGAUGAGGUCAGUGGUGCUCCCACCCACGUGGCAUACCUUGUCGGCUUAGCAGCUAGAGCGUCCUCCAAAGGUCAAAGAUUGUACCGCAGUGUGAACCUGGGAGCUAGAAAGGCAUGUGGAGAAAGAUACUGACGGUUACAAUUUUUCAAACCUUCCCCCGUGGUAGGAUACUCCCAGAGACAUUUUGGUGAGUGAGAACAUUCCCGCAGAGUAGAAAGUAUCCGAAAAAUAAACAAGAAGGGGUAUGACACGAGCUCCCCCCCGGAGACAUCGCUUAUAUGGAAAGUCCUCACUCGCAGACGAUAGGAUAGAGGGUGCUUUGUAAAGGCCAAGAAGGGAAAACAGGGCAAAUGAUGACUUUGCAUAAAUGCACGUUACGUCUUACACGCCAGUCUAUUUUCUAAGCGUCUAAAACUUCAGCUGACCUUGUGCAAGGAAACGUUUGCGAUUAUCCAUGGACAGGGCGAAGUGUGCGUUCCCCGGGCCUGGCGGGCGAGCCCUGCAGACGCCCCCUCCGGCUUUUCCAGACCUCAGCACUGAAAUCUCCGCGGAUCCGCAGUCUCUGUGUCUUGCCUCCACGAGCUCAAAAGCCACAGGGCUCUCCCACUGUCCCCCUGCACGACCCACUCUUGAGGAUGGAUGUUUCAGGUUCUGCCACAUCGAGCUACGUGUUCAAGGCGUGGUCUCGUCACACCCACCCAGGUGCCUUAAAUUCCAGCAAGAGUCUCACCCCUUAAACGGUAUUGAUCAGAAUGAAAUUGAAAACCAAAAUAAGCCAAUGAAAAUACGAGGUAGUCCAAACACACAAUCUGGGGCACAUGUUCUUUUGUCAUUCAAUGGGAAGAGAAAUCGAGAUUCUAAUAAAGCUGGAAAAAUGAUUUCAAGAUUUUGGAGACUUGAAGCCAUUAUUGAUGCACUAUUGAUCUCCAAACCCCCCCCCCCCCCACCCCAGAAACUUCAAGAAGCAGACAGAGAAAACAACCACAAAACGAACAAAUCGACCAAACAUGCAACCUUCUUCGGAGGGCCGGUCUUAAUCGCUAAUCAAAUUGAGAUUGUAAUAAACAUGUGUUCACACGUGCUGUCUUUUCCACCAUUUCUUCUUGAAUUCGUUAAUAUAAUAAUGCUCAGAAAGUAACAGAGGGUCUUGCACUGGUCCUUGUGAGAUCGAGGAUAAAUAGAAAACAUGAAUUUUCUUGUUGUUUACUUUGUUUGUUCUAGUAGAGUUACCAUACAGUGGUAUAUUAGUUUCGGGGGUACGAUAUGACCCAACAAGUCUACACAUUUCUCAGUGCUCGUCAGGACAAGUGUGCUCUUAACCAGCCCCCCUCCUAUUUCCCCCACUCCCUUCACCUCCCCUCUG